rnacentral:rRNA from 1 species
CCUACGGGUGGCAGCAGUGGGGAAUAUUGCACAAUGGGGGAAACCCUGAUGCAGCGACGCCGCGUGAGGGAAGAAGUAAUUCGUUACGUAAAGCUCUAUCAGCAGGGGAGAAAUACUGACCUUACGGUCAGCAGACGGUACCUGAGUAAGAAGCCCCGGCUAACUACGUGCCAGCAGCCGCGGUAAUACGUAGGGGGCAAGCGUUAUCCGGAUUUACUGGGUGUAAAGGGAGCGUAGACGGUGCGCCAAGUCUGGAGUGAAAUGCCGCGGCUUAACUGCGGAACUGCUUUGGAAACUGGCGAACUAGAGUGCGGGAGGGGUAAGCGGAAUUCCUAGUGUAGCGGUGAAAUGCGUAGAUAUUAGGAGGAACCCCGGUGGCGAAGGCGGCUUACUGGACCGUAACUGACGUUGAGGCUCGAAAGCGUGGGGAGCAAACAGGAUUAGAUACCCUGGUAGUC